AGAGCGCAGGGUGGAUGCCUUGGCACUAAGAGCCGAAGAAAGACGUGAUAAGCUGCGAAAAGCUGCGGGGAGAUGCAAAUAAUCCUUGAUCCGCAGAUGUCUGAAUGGGGAAACCCGGUACGAAGAACUCGUAUCAUCCAUACGCCAAUCCAUAACGUAUGGAGGGGAACCCGGUGAACUGAAACAUCUAAGUAGCCGGAGGAAGAGAAAGAAACAUCGAUUUUGUUAGUAGCGGCGAGCGAAAGCGAAAGAGGCCAAACCGGAGUGCGUGCACUCCGGGGUUCGGACCGCAUUUAAGAUUCAGUGAUUCUAGCAGAAAGGUUUGGGAAAGCCUGCCGGAGAGGGUGAAAGCCCCGUAAGCGAAAGGAGAGCUGACUGAGCGGAAUCCAGAGUACAUCGAGACACGAGAAACCUUGAUGGAAUGAGCGGGGACCACCCCGUAAGCCUAAAUACUACUUAGUGACCGAUAGCGCAUAGUACUGUGAAGGAAAGGUGAAAAGGACCCCGGGAGGGGAGUGAAAGAGAACCUGAAACCCUGUGUUUACAAGCUGUGGAAGUUCUUUAAAUGAACAACCGCGUACUUUUUGUAGAACGGUCCGGCGAGUUGCGGAUACUGGCAAGGUUAAGCACUUAAGGUGCGGAGCCGAAGGGAUACCAAGUCUUAACAGGGCGUUAAGUCAGUAUACGCAGACCCGAAACCGGGUGAUCUAUCCAUGUCCAGGUUGAAGUUGUCGUAAAAGACAAUGGAGGACCGAAGCCACAUCCGUUGAAAAGGGUGGGCAUGAGGUGUGGAUAGGGGAGAAAUUCCAAUCGAACCCGGAGAUAGCUGGUUCUCCUCGAAAUAGCUUUAGGGCUAGCCUCGAUUUAGUCUUAUGGAGGUAGAGCACUGAAUUUCCGCGGGGGCGUCAAAGCUUACCAAAGAAUAUCAAACUCCGAAUGCCAUGUAGAUGAUGAUCGGGAGUCAGACUGCACGAGAUAAGUUGGGCAGUCAAAAGGGAAAGAGCCCAGACCACCGGCUAAGGUCCCAAAGUGCGUGUUAAGUGGAAAAGGAUGUGGGAAUUCGAAGACAACUAGGAUGUUGGCUCAGAAGCAGCCAUACAUUCAAAGAGUGCGUAACAGCUCACUAGUCGAGAGUUCCUGCGCCGAAAAUGUCCGGGGCUGAAACACGACACCGAAGCCGUGGACUCGCAAUGCGAGUGGUAGAGGAGCAUUCUUAAAACCGACGAAGCUGUACCGGAAGGAGCAGUGGAGGGAUAAGAAGAGAGAAUGCCGGAAUGAGUAGCGAGAGAAAGGUGGGAAUCCUUUCGGCCGAAUAUCUAAGGUUUCCAGAGUAAAGCUGAUCUGCUCUGGGUAAGUCGGGGCCUAAGCACAGGUCGCAAGACGUAAGCGAUGGAUAACAGGUUUAGAUUCCUGUACCACGCAUUAUCAGAACUGUAGGGACGCAUGUGGAAAGCACGGGCCGGGAAUGGAAAGACCGGUACAAGCGAGGUAGGUGUACAACAGGCAAAUCCGUUGUAUAAUCCGAAGACGUGAUGUGGAGCGAAAUAAAGUAGUGAAGCGUGUGAGCCAUGUGCCGAGAAAAGCUGCUAUUGUGUAAUGCGUGCCCGUACCGUAAACCGACACAGGUGGAUGAGGAGAGAAUCCUAAGGCCGGCGGAAGAAGCAUUGUCAAGGAACUCGGCAAAAUGGCCCCGUAACUUAGGGAUAAGGGGUGCCUGGGAAACCAGGCCGCAGAGAAUAGGCUCAAGCAACUGUUUAGCAAAAACACAGGUCUAUGCGAAACCGAAAGGUGAGGUAUAUGGGCUGACGCCUGCCCGGUGCUGGAAGGUUAAGAGGAGAGGUUAGCGGUAACGCGAAGCUUUGAAUUUAAGCCCCAGUAAACGGCGGCCGUAACUAUAACGGUCCUAAGGUAGCGAAAUUCCUUGUCGGGUAAGUUCCGACCCGCACGAAAGGCGUAAUGAUUUGAGCACUGUCUCGACAAUGCAUCCGGUGAAAUUGAAGUACCAGUGAAGAUGCUGGUUACCCGCGCCAGGACGGAAAGACCCCAUGGAGCUUUACUCCAGUUUGAUACUGGGAUUCGGUACUGCAUGUACAGGAUAGGUGGGAGACGAAGAAGGAUGGACGCCAGUCUGUCCGGAGUCGCUGUUGGGAUACCACCCCUGUAGUACUGGGUUUCUAACCAGUUGCCAUGAACUGGCAAUGGGACAAUGUCAGGCGGGGAGUUUGACUGGGGCGGUCGCCUCCGAAAGGGUAUCGGAGGCGCUCAAAGGU
rnacentral:rRNA from 1 species